CUAACAAGCUCCACAAGUUUGACCUCAAAUCAGGUAGGACUACCCGCUGAACUUAAGCAUAUCAAUAAGCGGAGGAAAAGAAACCAACAGGGAUUGCCUCAGUAACGGCGAGUGAAGCGGCAAAAGCUCAAAUUUGAAAUCUAGUGUCUUUCGGCGCUCGAGUUGUAAUUUGAAGAUGGCGACUUUGGGGGUGGCCUUUAUCUAUGUUCCUUGGAACAGGACGUCACAGAGGGUGAGAAUCCCGUCUGAUGAGGUGACCCAUCCCUUUGUAAAGCGCUUUCGAAGAGUCGAGUUGUUUGGGAAUGCAGCUCUAAGUGGGUGGUAAAUUCCAUCUAAAGCUAAAUAUUGGCGAGAGACCGAUAGCGAACAAGUACAGUGAUGGAAAGAUGAAAAGAACUUUGAAAAGAGAGUGAAAAAGUACGUGAAAUUGUUGAAAGGGAAGGGUAUUAGAUCAGACUUGGUGUUGUGUGAUUAUCUUCCCCUUGUGGGUUGUGCACUCGCGCUUCACUGGGCCAGCAUCGAUUGGGGUGGCGGGAUAAGUGCUUAGGAACGUAGCUUUUCCUUCGGGGAUUGUGUUAUAGCCUCUGCCCAUACCGCCCGUCUCGAUCGAGGACUGCGUCUUUUGACUAGGAUGCUGGCGUAAUGAUCUAAUAUCGCCCGUCUUGA
rnacentral:rRNA from 1 species